rnacentral:rRNA from 1 species
UACGUAGGGUGCGAGCGUUGUCCGGAAUUAUUGGGCGUAAAGAGCUCGUAGGCGGUGUGUCACGUCGUUCGUGAAAACCUGCAGCUUAACUGUGGGCGUGCGGUCGAUACGGGCAUCACUGGAGUUCGGCAGGGGAGACUGGAAUUCCUGGUGUAGCGGUGAAAUGCGCAGAUAUCAGGAGGAACACCGGUGGCGAAGGCAGCUCUCUGGGACGGUACUGACGCUGAGACGCGAAAGCGUGGGGAGCGAACAGG